ensembl:lncRNA
GCGCGGGGAGCGCGCGGCUGCUGGGCCGCCGUCCUGGGAGGCGUCGGCGAGCCGCGCCUGCCUGGCCAGAGCCGAGCCCGGCGGAGUCCGGCCGGCCGCGCUCUGCUGCUCUCUCCCGGGCCGGGCUCGUCCGUUCCCCCGGCGUCCGUGGACGCCGCUCCGUGUCCCCGCUGGGCACGGCAGCCCGGGCCCUGCACAGCCACGGCCGCUAGCCUGAGGAGGCCCUCCUUCAGCUCCCGCUCUUCCUGCUCGCCGGACACGGACGACCAGGGCGCCUGCGAAGAUGAUGCCAUCUGGGAGAGCACAGAAUAAUAUUCCAUUGUCUGGAUGUCCCAGAGCUUAUUUAUCCAUUCACCUGUGGAACGACAUCUUGAUUGCUUGCAGGUUUCGGCAGUUAUGAAUAAAGCCGCUGUAAACAUCCACGUGCAGGUUUUUGUGUGGACAUAAGUUUUCAGCUCCUUUGCAUAAAUACCAAGGAGCACAAUUGCUGGGUCCUUGGUAAGAGUAUGCUUAGUUUUGUGAGCAGCCGCCAAACUGUCUUCCACAGUGGCUGGACCAUUUUGCAUUCCCACCAGCAAUGAACAAGAGUUCCUGCUGCUCCUCAACCUCGCUCGCAUUUGGUGGUGUCAGUGGUCUGGAUUUUGGCCAGUCUAAAAAACUUUUGAACCCAGAUGUUUUGGCU